GCGGGUGGCGACGGCUGGCGGCUGGGUUGGUAGUCGAGCCUUGCAGUGUGUUCGUAGCCAGCCAGCGGGAGGGUUGUUUCAGGUGUCUUCCCGCCUCUCCUCGCGCUCUGCUUCCCGUCGUGCCAUGCCGUGUUGCUGUGCCUCCCGCCGGUGCCAGUGCCUCCGCGGGGGUACCAGGGAGUGCCGCGUGUGGGGGAGGGGCGGUGGGGUGUGUUAGUGCCUGGUGCAGAUGUGCAGAACAAAGUGAAGGGGUGAAGUGAAUCAUGAUGUUGACAAUACCGAUACUAACAGUGAAAUUGUGAGAAUGACAGAAGACUUAAAAGAAAAUACCCAAAAAAUCAGAGAAUAUGAUGCAGAAUUCAAUAGAAAUUAAGUGAAUAAUGAUAAUAACUCUGGACAAAAGACAGUAAGAGAAAAGAAAAUGAUAAGAGAAUAUGUGAGUCUUUGUGGAGAAAUACAUACAUGAAAACGCUGAGUGUCGCCUUAAGAGAAGCUUACGUGUGUGAAAAAUAAAGCUGUUGAUACAUUAAUAAUAUGAAGAGAAUGAAAAAAAGUUGGGUAGCAAUAGAAAAACAUGUAUGGAAAAAUAAUAGUGUUAAAAUAGAAUAGUAAAGUCAC